AACCUUCCCAUGUUGUAUACCCGCAUCCUCUACCUUCGUCUACAAGCGUCUCAAUCCCCAGCAACACCCCUGUCUGUGCAGAAUGCUUUUGUUCUUCAGUUUGGGAAGAUUUGAACUUCUGAAGAAACUUUAUUGAGAAACGACACCCACCAUCUUGGCAUUAAUCAAAUCCAGGUGAAAAAAUGAAGUAUUGCAUCAACAGAAAAGCAUACUACAAAGAAGAUAUUAUUUUGAAUGUGAACCUGCGUGCAUUAUAUAGAAAUUCUGGAUGUUACUUCUGUAGUACUCAUCUUACCAUACACGUACAAACACAUGUUACUCUUAUAGUACUCUUAUAGUACUCAUCUUCCCAUACAGGUACAGAAUUGAUGCAGAGAAAAAAGUAUGUGAAUACUGGUACAUGCUCCAUUUUGCAUUACUCUUACCGUAGACGACGGAUUGUUCGCUUUCAGGCUUGAUUCUUGGUAUUAUUGAGAAGGUGGCUCGUCGGAUGCUGUCGCCAUGGAUGAUGACGGCGAUCUCGUUCUCUAUCGGAGAAUGAAGAGACACAGGAGAAGGAACAAGGAUCAUGUGCUCACCGUGCAGCACGGCGUCACCUCUUUGCUCCGGAGCGUCGGGCUUCUUGCUAGAGAGCAUUCAGUGUCGGAUUUCCUACUGUGUAUCAUCCUUCUUUCAUUUGUGGUCCAUUGUUUGCUGUUGUUGGUUUACAUGUUUGGAAGGCAGCCAUGCUGCUAACCUGACUUUGUGUUGCACAAGAGCUUCACGUCGUCUGAAUUCGACGGUGUUACUGCCAUGGAGAUCGGUGUUGGGACAGGUGAUGGCUUGUUAUGAAAUUUAGUGAAUGAGAAAAUUGCUCUAUUGUUGUGCUUGUACAACUGUGUAAUUUUUCUGAUUUUUAUUUGUUUUUGUGAAGGUCAAAAUGUUGUGUCCGAGAAGUUCAAGUAUGUUAGUUUAUAUUGUAUUAUUGAGAAGUUCCAACUGGUUGUA